rnacentral:rRNA from 1 species
GACGAACGCUGGCGGCGUGCCUAAUACAUGCAAGUCGAACGCUUCUUUCCUCUCGAGUGCUUACACUCAAUUGGAAAGAGGAGAAGCGGACGGGAGAGUAACACGUGGGUAACCUACCCAUCAGAGAGGGAUAACACUUGGAAACAGGUGCUAAUACCGCAUAACAGUUUAUGCCGCAUGGCAUAAGAGUGAAAGGCGCUUUCGGGGGUCGCUGAUGGAUGGACCCGCGGUGCAUUAGCUAGUUGGUGAGGUAACGGCUCACCAAGGCCACGAUGCAUAGCCGACCUGAGAGGGUGAUCGGCCACACUGGGACUGAGACACGGCCCAGACUCCUACGGGAGGCAGCAGUAGGGAAUCUUCGGCAAUGGACGAAAGUCUGACCGAGCAAUGCCGCGUGAGUGAAGAAGGUUUUCGGAUCGUAAACCUCUGUUGUUAGGGAAGAACAAGGACGUUAGUAACUGAACGUCCCCUGACGGUAUCUAACCAGAAAGCCACGGCUAACUACGUG